AAACUUCAGUGGAACCACUCCUUUAGAAUUGCAGUCUAAUAUCAUUAAUUGACUAUAAAGUU
rnacentral:tRNA from 1 species